rnacentral:lncRNA from 13 species
CUCUGUGUUGUCCAACAGGAGGAUCUGUGAGGUGAUUGGUAACUCUGUGUGUCCUCUGUGUUGUCCAACAGGAGGAUCUGUGAGGUGAUUGGUAACUCUGUGUGUCCUCUGUGUUGUCCAACAGGAGGAUCUGUGAGGUGAUUGGUAACUCUGUGUGUCCUCUGUGUUGUCCAACAGGAGGAUCUGUGAGGAGGAUCUGUGAGGAGGAUCUGAUCUGUGAGGAGGAUCUGUGAGGAGGAUCUGUGAGGUGAUU